rnacentral:rRNA from 1 species
AACAGGAUUAGAUACCCUGGUAGUCCACGCCCUAAACGAUGUCAACUGGUUGUUGGACGGCUUGCUGUUCAGUAACGAAGCUAACGCGUGAAGUUGACCGCCUGGGGAGUACGGCCGCAAGGUUGAAACUCAAAGGAAUUGACGGAGACCCGCACAAGCGGUGGAUGAUGUGGUUUAACUCGAUGCAACGCGAAAAACCUUACCUACCCUUGACAUGCCAGGAACUUGCCAGAGAUGGCUUGGUGCUCGAAAGAGAGCCUGGACACAGGUGCUGCAUGGCCGUCGUCAGCUCGUGUCGUGAGAUGUUGGGUUAAGUCCCGCAACGAGCGCAACCCUUGUCAUUAGUUGCUACGAAAGGGCACUCUAAUGAGACUGCCGGUGACAAACCGGAGGAAGGUGGGGAUGACGUCAGGUCCUCAUGGCCCUUAUGGGUAGGGCUACACUCGUCAUACAAUGGCCGGUACAGAGGGCUGCCAACCCGCGAGGGGGAGCCAAUCCCAGAAAACCGGUCGUAGUCCGGAUCGUAGUCUGCAACUCGACUGCGUGAAGUCGGAAUCGCUAGUAAUCGCGGAUCAGCUUGCCGCGGUGAAUACGUUCCCGGGUCUUGUACACACCGCCCGUCACACCAUGGGAGCGGGUUCUGCCAGAAGUAGUUAGCCUAACCGCAAGGAGAGCGAUUACCACGGCAGGUUCGUGACUGGGGUGAAGUCGUAACAAGGUAACC